rnacentral:rRNA from 1 species
AGGAUUAAUGCUGGCGGCGUGCCUAAUACAUGCAAGUCGAAUGGGUUAGACCCAUGGCAAACGGGUGAGUAACGCGUAGGAAGUUGCUCUGAAGCUCGGGAUAAUCCGUCGAAAGACGGCGUAAUACCGAAUGGUCCCGCAAGGGUAAAGAUUUAUCACUUCAGAAGACGCCUGCGUCCUAUCAGCUAGUUGGUGAGGUAACGGCUCACCAAGGCGAUGACGGGUAGCUGGUCUUAGAGGAUGAUCAGCCACAGUGGAACUGCGACACGGUCCACACUCCUACGGGAGGCAGCAGUAGGGAAUCGUCGGCAAUGGGCGAAAGCCUGACCGCGCGACGCCGCGUGAAGGAAGAAGGCCUUCGGGUUGUAAACUUCUUUAUGGGGGAUGAUUAUGACAGUACCCAAGAAUAAGGGCCUGCUAACUACGCGCCAGCAGCCGC